rnacentral:lncRNA from 1 species
AUAGUUAAAUAUAUUUCAUUAAUAUCAGUCUUUCCUUUCUUUUUCUGUUACAGUUAUACAAGCAGAGUGGUUACAAAUGGAUUGAAAGCCCAAAUAAAUAAUCCAGAGCUGAUAGUCAGAGGGUUGGAUCCAGAGAUAGGUCAUUUAAUUGACAAGUUGAAACAUUUUAAUCAGCUGGCAGCCCACACAACAAGUUUACAAUCCGAAAGUUGGAUUGACAGGGAAGGCAGCAGUGGGAAUGGAAUGAGCAAAGAGACAGAAUCCAGUGGAGACUGUGAUGAUGAAGAUGGAUGCCAAGGAUCAGGUGAUAAAAGCUACACAAAAGAUGUUUUUAGUGUGAAAUCAGGAGACAAAAAUGAAACCAUACCAAUAAUGGAAAAGAUGGACACCACAACCACAACCACAAUAAAAACAUUUUCCAUUUAUAAAGGCGGCAGAAAUCUGGGUACUCAAGCAUCAAGUUCUUGGUUCUUUAAAAUUACUAGCCUUGCAGUUUUGUGGCAUUUUGUGUCAUAGCUGUAUUACAUUGCAGCAACUAUGCAAUUUCUGAGCACCAUCAUAUAAACCUUCAGCCUUAUCCAAGUGAAAGCAAACUUAAAUUGGUCUCUAAAUUCUAUGCUCUAAUAUUAUGUGAUAUGUUAGUUUAAUUGCUAAGUAUUAGUCUGGGACUGGCUACCAGCAAGCAUCAAUUUGUACACAUUGUCUCCACUGUCUG